UACGUAGGGGGCGAGCGUUGUCCGGAUUUAUUGGGCGUAAAGAGCUCGUAGGCGGCUUGGCAAGUCGGGUGUGAAACCUCCAGGCUCAACCUGGAGACGCCACUCGAUACUGCUAUGGCUAGAGUCCGGUAGGGGACCACGGAAUUCCUGGUGUAGCGGUGAAAUGCGCAGAUAUCAGGAGGAACACCGAUGGCGAAGGCAGGUCUCUGGGCCGAUACUGACGCUGAGGAGCGAAAGCGUGGGGAGCGAACAGG
rnacentral:rRNA from 1 species